GACGAACGCUGGCGGCGUGCCUAGUACAUGCAAGUCGAACGAACCGCGACUGAGUGCUUGCACUUGGUCAAGGUGAGUGGCGAACGGGUGAGUAACACGUGGGUAACCUACCUCAUAGUGGGGGAUAACAGUCGGAAACGACUGCUAAUACCGCAUAGGACAUGGAAUCACAUGAUUCUGUGAGGAAAGGUGGCGCAAGCUAUCGCUAAGAGAUGGACCCGCGGUGCAUUAGCUAGUUGGUAGGGUAAGGGCCUACCAAGGCGAUGAUGCAUAGCCGACCUGAGAGGGUGAUCGGACACAUUGGGACUGAGACACGGCCCAAACUCCUACGGGAGGCAGCAGUAGGGAAUCUUACGCAAUGGACGCAAGUCUGACGGAGCAAAGCCGCGUGAGUGAAGAAGGUCUUCGGAUCGUAAAGCUCUGUUGUUAGAGAAGAACAGCGCAUAGAGUAACUGUUAUGCGUGUGACGGUAGCUAACCAGAAAGCCACGGCUAACUACGUG
rnacentral:rRNA from 1 species